UUUCUUAAAAGUGUUCAGUAGCAUUCUCCAUAGAUUAAUAACCAUCCAAGAAAUCCUGGUGUUUGCUUUUCAUAUUUGUAUGCCCCCCUUGCUCACUAAACGGUUCUUUAGAUAGAUGAAGAGGAAUCUCUAUUUGCUGUUUAAUAUACAACUUUUAAUCUUGCACCAACAUACUCUAAGAUCUAAGUCCUCUUGUACCAGCCGGUAGGAUAUGUUUUUUAACAUGGAGUUCAAUUCUUCUAGCCCUUAUUAAUAAUGUUGCUACUUAGCAUUCAUUAAACAUAAAAAAA
rnacentral:lncRNA from 1 species